rnacentral:rRNA from 1 species
CCUACGGGUGGCAGCCGUAGGGAAUAUUGCUCAAUGGGGGAAACCCUGAAGCAGCAACGCCGCGUGGAGGAUGAAGGUUUUCUGAUUGUAAACUCCUUUUUUUAGAGAAGAUAAUGACGGUAUCUAACGAAUACUCACCGGCUAACUCCGAGCCAGCAGCCGCGGUAAUAAGGAGGGUGCAAGCGUUACUCGGAAGCCCUGAGCGUAAAGAGCGCGUAGGCGGGAUAGCAAGUCAGAUGUGAAAUCGUAUGGCUUAACCAUAGAACUGCAUUUGAAACUGGUAUUCUAGAGUAUGGGAGAGGUAGGUGGAAUUCUUGGUGUAGGGGUAAAAUCCGUAGAGAUCAAGAGGAAUACUCAUUGCGAAGGCGACCUGCUAGAACAUAACUGACGCUGAUGCGCGAAAGCGUGGGGAGCAAACAGGAUUAGAUACCCGAGUAGUC